rnacentral:rRNA from 1 species
GAUGAACGCUGGCGGCGUGCUUAACACAUGCAAGUCGAACGGAAAGGCCCAAGCUUGCUUGGGUGCUCGAGUGGCGAACGGGUGAGUAACACGUGGGUGAUCUGCCCGGCACUUUGGGAUAAGCCUGGGAAACUGGGGCUAAUACCGGAUAGGACCAUCUGUUAGUGGCGGUGGGGGAAAGAUUUUCGGUGUGGGAUGGGCUCGCGGGCUAUCAGCUUGUUGGUGGGGUAAUGGCCUACCAGGGCGUCGACGGGUAGGCGGCCUGGGAGGGUGUACGGCGACAUUGGUCCUGCGAUACGGCGCAGACUCCUACGGGAGGCAGUAGUGGGGAAUCUUGCACAACGGGCGCAAGCCUGAUGCAGAGACGCUGCGUGGGGGAUGACGGGCUUUGGGUUGAAAACGCGUUUCGCCAAGGACGAAGCGUUUUGUGACGGUACUUGGAGAAGAAGCAACGGCUAACUACGUG